GAUGAAGAACGUAGCGAAAUGCGAUAAGUAAUGUGAAUUGCAGAAUUCAGUGAAUCAUCGAAUCUUUGAACGCACAUUGCGCCCGCCAGUAUUCUGGCGGGCAUGCCUGUUCGAGCGUCAUUACAACCCUCAGGCCCCCGGGCCUGGCGUUGGAGAUCGGCGGAGCCCCCCGUGGGCACACGCCGUCCCCCAAAUGCAGUGGCGGUCCCGCCGCAGCUUCCAUCGCGUAGUAGCUAACACCUCGCGACUGGAGAGCGGCGCGGCCACGCCGUAAAACACCCAACUCUUCUGAAGUUGACCUCGAAUCAGGUAGGAAUACCCGCUGAACUUAAGCAUAUCAAUAAGCGGAGGA
rnacentral:misc_RNA from 1 species